rnacentral:misc_RNA from 1 species
CUGAAACUGAAAAUCCAGUCGUCUGACCUCCUUGAUGCCUCCCAUGGUUAAAUCGUCUACAUUAUUGCUUUUAAAUGGGUACUUUUAUUUGCCAUUCACAGCACAAAACCUAAAUAAAAAUAUCCAGAGAACAAAUGGGGACGUUAAAUGAAAUGCAGUUGUAGCCACUCUGUUGAAGAAAUACAGUGAGUUUUUGAUGAUCCUUAGUCACUCUGUAGAAGAAAUCCAUGCAACAACUUUAACUCCAAUGUCACUGUCCAACUAUAAUAGCAAUGCCAAGUUUAGUUUCAGAAAACUCAUCAUAUCUUUUAUUUCUUAAAACACUAGGAUACAUUAUGCCAAGCAAAGUUUAAGCACAGAAAUGAACAUAAUGUAGUAAUAAAGAAACGAAAAUUUUGAUCUUUUAUUUGUUUACCCGAGAACAUGCAUACGAUGUAAUAACUCCCAAAACUCCAGACAGCCAGUUCUGCCACCACCAAGACCACCAUAAAAGCGAAUUCAGCAGAAAGAUAAUACUCAUAAUGCAGCACUUUGCCGCAACAUAAUCAAGAACCCCAUCCACCACCACCUGGAGUUAAAAUCUGAAGAAUUUCCCCAGCCUGCACCUCAACUGUGUUCUUACCUCCAAGGUAAACUCUGCGUUUAUCUUUUGUAAUCAGGUAAUUAGCCCCACGUGCACCGUCUUUUCCUCCUUUUAAACCUCUUGGUGCGUGAACUCGCCUCUCUGAAAGAAUGCUCACUACAACUGGUCGUCUGAACUCUAUCUCCCUUAUGAGCCCAUCACCACCUUUAUUAAGUCCACUUCCCCCACUGUUCUCUCUAAGUCCAAAUUUAUGCAAAAGAACGGGACACCUCUGCUCAAAAAUUUCUGGAUCAGUCAUACGGGUAUUAGUCAUAUGGCACUGGACUCCACUCGUCCCAUCCCAGCUUGGACCAGCCCCACUUCCACCCCCAAUUGUUUCAUAAUAACCGAAAGUAUUAUCCCCAAAAGUGAGAUUAUUCAUGCAACCCUGAGAGCAAGCACAGGCCUGAAAUGCAGUAAGUACAACAUCAGUUACUCUUUGAGAUGUGAGAACAUUACCUCCAACCACAGCAGCCUUCUCACUUGGAGAGAGGAAUGAUCCUGGAGGAAUAUAGAUUUUAACAGGGGCUAAGCAACCCUGGUUGAGAGGAAUAUCAACAUCCACCAAACAGCGAAGGCAGUAUAUGACUGAUGCAGCUGUUACUGCCUCUGGCGCAUUCCAAUUGCCAUACACCUCGGGGCUAGUCCCACUAAAAUCAAAAACUGCUUCCCCUCUCUCUGAAUCAAUAGUAAGUUUUAGAUGUAUCACAGACCCAUCAUCCAUGUAAUCAUCUUCCUCGAUGGUUACAGAAGUAUUCUCUUCAAAUCUAGCUGAUUGAGACGAAACUCUAGCAGCAACUGACUUGAGCAUUUCUCUCACUGCUGCUUCUGCAUUAAGCUGCACAUAGGUCAUGUAUGCCUGAACAGUGUCCAAACCAUACUGCUCAAUUAGUUCUUUGAUAAGGGAAAUUCCCCUCUGGUUUGCAGCCACUUGUGCAUGUAGAUCUGAUAGAUUAUCUUGAAGGCGGCGGCUUCCUGGGAUUUUACGAGCUGAUUCAUCAGAACAUGGGAACUUCAGAAGUUUGAUGAUUCCUUCCUCUUGAAAAACUCCUCUUUCCACAAGCUUAAAUGCUUUAAUUGCAGCUCCUUCUUCCCAUAUAGACUUUGAAAAUGGAGGCAUACUUCCCGGAGUAAUACCCCCAAUCUCUGCAUGAUGCCCUCUACUUGCAACAAAAAAAACCAGUUUACCCUUAUCAAAAACCGGCGUGAUGACAGUUAUGUCUGGAAGAUGGCUUCCUCCAGCACAAGGAUGAUUCGUAACCAACACAUCACCUUCAUUCAGAUUUUCACCCCAGUAAUUGAGUUGCCAUCGAACUGUACUUGACAUAGCUCCAAGGUGCACAGGUACAUGGGGAGCAUUAGCAACUAGUCCCCCAUCAGGACCAAAAAGAGCACAAGAAAAAUCUAGCCUUUCCUUGAUAUUUGUUGAAAUGGAAGUCCUCUGCAAAGUCCGUCCCAUUUGCUCAGCUAUCCCCAUAAACCUGUGAUUGAAAAUUGAGAGCUGUACAACAUCUGCAACUUUUUCAGAUAUUUUCACAGUGCUUAUAUUAGAUUCAAUUUCAAUUUUAAUGUUUCCAUAUUUGGUUAUAAUAGCUUUGCAAUUGGGCUCUACUAUGACAGUACUAUUUCCAUUCAUGAUAAUUGCAGGGCCAGGAAUAAUAUGUCCAGGCCCCAGAUUUUCAAGCUUGAAUAGAGGCGCAAGGUGCCAUCCCUUCCCAAAGUAAACGUUGUAGUGACCUUCCACUCUUGGGGAACCAGAAAUUGGUUCCAAGACCUGCGGCUUCAAUAUGUUAGUGACACCAACACCACGAACUCUUACAUCACAGAUAAGAAUAUUCCUGUUUUGCAGUUUGAAUCCAUAUUCCUGCUGGAAUAACUUUACAAAUUCCACAGCAUAGUCACAUACAGAUCCAUCUUUGUUUACAUGUCCCCUUACCAUGAUGGAAGUAUCAGUACCUUCAUACCUCAAAUUUAGAUACGUCUCUGUUGUAAUGUUUGCCUCUCUGAAUCCUUGAGCUUGCAACUUCUGCUUUACUUGCUUCAAUAACAUAUCUUUUCUGUGAGACGCCUCCAAGACAGAUUCAGGACCAUAGACAGCAGAAUAUGGUUCUUGUGCCUCUUCUACAACAUCUGCUAAUCCCAUACCAUACGCACUUAAGAUCCCACAGAACUUGUGAAUGAGAACUUCUUUCAUACCCAAUGACCUUGCAAUGGCACAAGCAUGCUGUGGACCAGCACCUCCAAAGCAAGCAAGAGCAUGGUUCCGUGUCUCAUGUCCUUUCAUCUCAGUUAACUGCCGUAUCGGACGGCACAUUGUUUCAUUUGCGACAUUGACAAAUCCCAGUGCAACAUCUUCCACUGUCAUGUCCUUUGCAGAUGGAUCCUGGCUCUUCCUAUAUGAAUUUAUUUGCUUUGCAAGCUUCUCAAAUUCUUCCCUAGUUGCCUUAAUAUCUAGAGGCUGAUCUUCGUUGGGGCCAAAAAUGGAUGGGAAAUAAUCAGGAAUAACAAAUCCUAGAAUAAGGUUAGCAUCAGUAACUGCCAAUUCCCCUCCUUUCCGAUAACAAACGGGCCCUGGGUGGGCACCCACUGAUUCUGGUCCUACCCGGAAAGCACCAAAUUGGAACUUCAACUUUGAUCCACCACCAGCAGCAACAGUAUUUAUAUCAAGCUGAGGUGCUUGUAUUAUGGCGCCAGCAAUCUGGGUUUCAAUAACUUGUUCAUAAAUCCCAGCAUAUCGGCUUACAUCAGUAGAUGUACCACCCAUAUCAAACCCAAUAAGGGGCUUUUCUGUUUCAAGUCCGAAAAGAGUCUGUGAGUAACCAACAACUCCACCUGCAGGACCUGAUAAAACGGCUUUAUGUCCUGAAAAUCUACUUUCAGGUGCAAGUCCUCCAUCUGAUUGCAUAAAUAGAACAUUCACCUUCCCCAGCCCGUCAUCAAAUCUAGAAAUGAACCCUGAUAAGUACUCUUUGAUGACAGGGGUCAAGUAAGCAUCCACACUAGCUGUUAGACCCCUAGGAACAGCUCGAACCAUAGGGCUCAAAGCUGAAGACAAGGAAACAUGUCUGAAACCCAAACUCACGGCUAACUUUUCCACAGCUAUUUCAUGCUGUGGAAAAGUGUAAGAAUGCAACAAUACAACGGCCAAACAGCUAAUCCCCUUCUCCAAUAAGCCUUCCAGCAGAGGUUUCAAAGCUUUUUCAUCAAGGGGUUUCACAACCCUGACAAGCUCACCAGACACUCCUUUAACUACUGAUGCUGAAAAAGAAUUUUGGUCAACUAGCUCCUCAUUGAGAACAAGUUGAACUCUUUCAUCAACCUCUACAAUCUCCUCAUAAAGAUUCGAGGGUUUUGAUACAGUGAGGUCAAAGAUAUUGGGUCGGGCCUGAUUACCAAUCUGAAGCAGAUCCUUGAACCCACGAGUCACACAAAGUGCAAUCCUUUCACCUUUUCUUUCCAAGAGAGCAUUAGUGGCCACAGUAGUACCCAUCCUUAUCCAAUCAAUCUUAUCAGUGGGAAUCUUUGAAGUUCUUGGAAUUUUCUCUCCAGUAUACUCUUCAAGAAUCCUACGAAUCCCUUCUACUGGAGCAUCAUCAUAAUUUGAUGGGUCAACAGACAAGAGUUUCAAAACUCGGCCAUCGGGAUGGCCAGGGAUUUCAGCAUAUACAUCAGUGAAGGUACCUCCUCUGUCAAUGCAAAAUCUGAGCCUUUCUUCAUUGACACUUCCCAUAUCUAGGUGUAUCCGAUUAAAAUCAAAUCUUCAAAUCAACAUGAAAACCCAAACAGAUAAAAACAUCAUUUUAGUAAGCCAGCCAAUCAAAUGACCUGAUUUUGUGCAUCAAAUCUAAGUGAAGACCCUGAUCAUAUAACACAAAGUUGGAUUUUCUAGCCUUUACUGCGAAGUCCUAUCCAGAAAAAGGAUUAACGAUUUUUCUUUUGAACAUAAAAUAAGAUAAGAAACCGUACCUGGGUUCACGUCGAUGACGGCGACCGCCGCUCGAGUAAAGUGAGCUCGAUGAAGGAAGCAAGGGUGUGAGCAAGCGCGUGAAAGGGAAUGGAAGACAUUGACAUCACAAGCGAUAAGAAUUAUUUAUUAUUAUCUGUUCUUUAUUCAACUUUGAAGAUAGGUGCGCAAGGACAGACACCAAGCGUGGAAGAUUUGUCGUGAUCGUGGAGGUUGCACUCCUGCGGCGAUGCUGCGACGUCGUUGCUUCUUUUGACACCGCAGCAUGUUUCCUUGAAU